GCUGGCACAGUGAUGAGAGCAAGAGGAGGAGGAAAAUGGGAAAGGAGGAAGGUGGGUGGACGGAAGAAACUACAGGGUGAGAGGGAGGAACCGCGAGGGUUAAGUAGAGAGGGGGUUGCUGCUACUCACGGAGCAAAGUAGAAGGGGGUAGGAGGGAAAUGGAUCGGAUUGCGUGGUCGGCACGAGUCUGGUUAGUAUGAGUGCAACAGAAUAAAAGAGAAUAAAAGUAAGAGAGCAAGAGAUAGAUAUGCGGUUAGAAAUGGAAGCGUAUAUGUAGGUGAAAAAAAGUAGCUGAGAGUAUAAAAAGGAUUGCAUCAGUGAACGAGAAAAUUCGAGCACACAGGCACAUAGGAGAAAAAGAGAGAGAACGCGCGCGCGACGUGUCGUGCAUCACGCCGUAUUACUUCCGUUUCGUGCACAUAGUACAUCAUACGUAUACGCCAUGAGAAAAAAAGUACCGCGGACGAAAAGAUAAAAAGAGAAAAAAAA